rnacentral:rRNA from 1 species
GAUGAACGCUAGCGGCGUGCUUAAUGCAUGCAAGUCGAACGAGAAGCCAUUGCACUUCGGUAUGAUGGUGGAAAGUGGCGAACGGGUGAGUAACACGUUGGUGACCUGCCUCAAAGAGGGGGACAACCGCUAGAAAUGGCGGCUAAUACCCCAGAUGUUAACCUUUUUAGAAACGGUUGACUAAAGCUCCGGCGCUUUGAGAGGGGCCUGCGUCCCAUCAGCUAGUUGGUAAGGUAAUGGCUUACCAAGGCUAAGACGGGUAGGGGACGUGAGAGCGUGAUCCCCCACAAUGGUACUGACACACGGACCAUAUACCUACGGGUAGCAGCAGCAAGGAAUAUUGCGCAAUGGGCGAAAGCCUGACGCAGCAACGCCGCGUGGAGGACGAAGGUCUUCGGAUUGUAAACUCCUUUUCUGAGGGAAUAGAAAGGAAGGUACCUCAGGAAUAAGCUCCGGCUAACUACG